UCAUAAAAAUUUUGAAUUCUCGCCCGUC
rnacentral:piRNA from 1 species